GGCCGCUUGUCUUUGUAAGGAGACCACAGAGCUGGAGAGCAGCUGCGAGCAGCAUCUAGCCUCGUUACUUUUUAAGCAAUCCCAAUGAAGUGCUUGUAGCGAAUACACUGAUCCUGCCUGCAAUCUUUUUCGCAAGGCAGAGAAAUUGAUCAGUGUCAAGUCAAGAUCACAAUUUUAUAUGAGAUCUUGACUUUUCUUCCCCCCCUUUUUUCGUACAGUAUAUUUUUAUAGACUUUGUUAUAAAUAUAUAUAUAUACAUACAUAUAUAUAUAUUUAUAUAACCAACAUGGUGCUGGGGAAGGUGAAGAGUUUGACAAUAAGCUUUGACUGUCUUAAUGACAGCAAUGUCCCCGUCUAUUCCAGCGGGGACACAGUCUCAGGAAGGGUGAAUUUAGAAGUUACUGGGGAAAUUAGAGUCAAAUCGCUUAAAAUCCAUGCAAGAGGACAUGCAAAAGUACGCUGGACUGAAUCUAGAAAUGCUGGAUCCAACACUGCCUAUACACAGAACUACACUGAAGAAGUAGAAUAUUUCAAUCAUAAGGAUAUCUUAAUUGGGCACGAAAGAGAUGAUGACAAUUCUGAAGAAGGCCUCCACAUCAUUCAUUCAGGACGGCACGAAUAUGCAUUCAGCUUUGAGCUUCCACAGACACCACUUGCUACCUCAUUUGAAGGCAGACAUGGCAGUGUGCGCUAUUGGGUGAAAGCAGAAUUGCACAGGCCUUGGCUUCUACCAGUAAAAUUAAAGAAGGAAUUUACAGUCUUUGAACAUAUAGAUAUCAACACUCCUUCAUUACUGUCACCCCAAGCAGGCACAAAAGAAAAGACUCUCUGUUGCUGGUUUUGUACCUCAGGCCCAAUAUCCUUAAGUGCCAAAAUUGAAAGGAAGGGCUACACCCCAGGUGAAUCAAUUCAGAUCUUUGCAGAGAUUGAGAACUGCUCUUCCCGGAUGGUGGUGCCAAAGGCUGCCAUUUAUCAGACACAGGCAUUCUAUGCCAAAGGAAAAAUGAAGGAAGUAAAGCAACUUGUUGCCAACUUGCGUGGGGAGUCCCUGUCAUCAGGGAAGACAGAAACCUGGAAUGGCAAACAGUUAAAAAUCCCACCUGUCUCCCCCUCCAUCCUUGAUUGUAGUAUAAUCCGUGUGGAAUAUUCUCUAAUGGUAUACGUGGAUAUUCCAGGUGCAAUGGACUUGUUCCUUAAUUUACCACUUGUUAUUGGUACCAUACCUUUACACCCAUUUGGCAGCAGAACAUCAAGUGUGAGCAGCCAAUGUAGCAUGAAUAUGAACUGGCUUGGUCUGACACUGCCUGAAAGACCAGAAGCACCUCCUAGCUAUGCAGAAGUGGUCACCGAGGAGCAAAGGCAGUCCAGCCUAGCACCUGUAGCUGCUUGUGAUGACUUUGAAAGAGCACUUCAAGGACCAUUAUUCGCCUACAUCCAGGAGUUCAGAUUCUUGCCACCUCCACUUUAUUCUGAGAUUGAUCCAAAUCCAGAUCAGCCCUCAGAUGACAGGCCAUCCUGCCCCUCCCGUUGAAGGAAUGCCUCAUAAGAAAAGUUGACUUGGAUCUGAAUUGUAUCUUUGCCAUGUUGAGGAUAAAGGCAUCCUAUUGGAGACACAGUUUAAAAGGAAGUUCUUGCCUAAAAGAAAAGGUGAAAUAAUGAAACAACCUGUGAUUAUGCUUUUGAAGCCUACAGCAACAUCAUAGGACUGCUCUUCAUGCUUGAAGAUCUGAGCUUUUCCUCCCUGUUGUAUACUGGCACAUACUAAGAGCAGCCUUAAUAGCCUACACUCGUGUCAAAACACUCACCGUAUUGCAAGAGGAAUAACUUCCUCUUUUGAUUUGAAAAUUUGCACAUGCUCAAUGCUUAUGUUGUGCGGUUCAGUGUCACUACAGCUUUUUCUCAUUUACGUUGGACUGUUGUUACCCCCUUCUAACUUGUUUGUGGUCCGCACAACAAGGAGCGAAAAAAAGCUUUGAAAACUUUAUGAUGACAAAUGCACUGACUUUUUUUUAUUUAGAAAAACAAACAAUAUAGCCUGGACUUUUCCUGCAUAUGCACAUGCUCAGAAUUGUCCCAGUAAGACUGAUCCAUGUAUCACCUCUUCAGCUUGGAUCCUGUUGUGGAUUUAUUACAAACAUCAAAUGCCUUCAAGCCAAUCCUUGCUGUAUGUUUUGCAGCCUACUGUAGUAGAUAAGCAACAGAUAAGUGGGGGGGAAAUAACAGAAGGAAACGAAUAGGAGUUUUUGUCAAGAUUGUAUACCUUCUUGAUUCCUUCUAAGAAUUUGUUGCCUUUCUACUAUUACCGCAAAGAAGAAUUUUGUUACAGACUGCCUAAAUCACUUAAUCUCAGGAUUUGACUUCACCAUUGUGCCUUCCUUAUGAGCUUCCGAGAGGUACCUGGUCAGCCACUGCUGGAGCCAGAAUGCUGGAAUAAAUUCACUUUUGUCCUGAAAAAGCAAGCUGUUAAAAGACACAUAGGCCUGCCUGGAAACGUUGGUAGCUCUACGCUCAGAAGAAAGGAAACAGAUAUUUCAGAUCAGGAAGGACCCAGCUGCCUGGGAGUCUACAAUGAGCUGCAGAUUGUGAAACCAGGCCUUUUCAACUUUCAAAGUGGGGUUAUCUGACGUCAGAUUCCCUCAGAAGAGACUAAGCUACUUCUGCUCCAACAAAAAAGGAAAGGAAAGGUUGUGCCGUCAAGUCGGUGUCGACUCCUGGCGACCACAGAGCCAUGUGGUUUUCUUGAUAAAAUACAGGAGGAGAUUACCAUUGCCAUCUCCCACGCAGUAUGAAAUGAUGCCUUUCAGCACCUUUCUAUAUCACUGCUGCCCGAUAUAGGAGUUUCCCAUAUUCUGAGAAAUACACCAGCGGGAAUUUGAACCAACAACCUCCUGCUCUCUAGGCAGGUUACUGUGAAAAUGAAAACAAAUCAAUAUGUAAAUAACAAGAAGUAUGGACCCAGAACAAAAUGUUGCAGUAUAUUCCUGCUGUGAAGAAAAAUGGUGGAUUUUGUGAAUUUAUUGUGACUGUGUGUGUGUGUACGUGUGUGCGUGUGUGUGCACACAUACAACGACCCGCCCGCCCCGCGACACACACAGUUGUUUUUAUGUGCUUUUGAAGAGUGCAUUCCCACACCAAGAGCUUCAAGUGUCAAACUUCUUCCCCCUCAGAAAAACAAAAAUGUUAAAUGGCUGGUAAGAAAACAAAGUAGUUGUAGGUACUUUCCCCCCUCAGAAGCAGAAGGGGCUCUGACUGUCUUGAGGGAGUAUUCUUCAAGCUUAAAAAUAUCCUGCUCUCCUGCCCCGCCCCCCCGCUGCCCUCCUUCCCUGCUUCGCCACUCACUGCAGAGUUCUAUUAGCUCCACCCACUUAGUUGCCUGUCAAGUGCCCUCUGAGUCUGCAGACAUUGCAAUCCAUUGAGUUACAGUGGGGCAGUUGGGGGGGGGAUGGUUGGCCCCCUCAGGGGUUUUCCCUCAGAUUUUUGUGAAACUGGCAUAUCUGCAGGUUACCCCGAGUCUGGCCGUACCUCCCCGCUCACCUGCAGGUGCUCUGGUUAUUCAUCCAUAAGCAUCAUAACAUUUCCAACAGAUAUAAGAUGCUGGCACUGGAAGAACAGUAGCCUCAUUAUUCGAUUCCCGUUUGUUUAUUAGUGACACAGAAUUCUUGCAAGUUCAAACAAGGACUUUCUGGACUCAGACACAGUGUUGUAUUUUUUAACCUUAUAAGAACAUGUUUUGUUUCUCUGGCUCAUAGAUCUUUCUAAAUAUGGUGACAUUUAAUAAGUGGUAUCAAAACAUUAUUAUGGGAUUAUUUGAGGAUGCUCGGAAUUUUACCAAAAGACUAAAACAAAACAGGUUUUUUUUCCUUUUUUGUCGGCACUGAUCUAAUGUAAAUUGUUGACACCAGAGGAACAAACGUCCCUGUGAAGUAUAUUAGCCUUAAAGUUUAGAAGGCACCCAGUAAAUGCCAACAAAUGAAAGUACAAAAGAGGUAAAUGACAAUUAAGUAAUCUAGCUAGGGGAGAAAAAUAACAGAAUUAAGACAGGGUUUCUCAGACUUGGAUCUUCAGAUGUUCUUGGACUACAACUCCCAUCAUGCCCUGCCACAAUGGUGUUUGUAAUCCAACAACAUCUGGGGACCCAAGUUUGAGAAACUCUGCAUUUGGAGAAAUCCAUUUGUGUAAUACAAGGAAAUUAUAUUGAAGAGCAAGUAACUGUUUACCAUGCUGGCAUAUGACGUUGAAAGGCAACAAAUGCCAGCUGUCAGGCCUCAAUGUCACUCAAGAAGGCCAAAGAGUUUGCAAGGACAGUGACAUACCCAGACAAGCCUUGGUAUCUUUUUAGAGCUGCUUGUUCAUUAUUGUAGACUGAACUGAUUCAGCUAUGCUCUUUCAUUAGAGGCAUGAAAACAUUUCACUUUUGGUGAUCUAUAUAGGCCUAAUCAGACAUUAUACAAAAGGCACUUUGCUCUAAUACAGCAUCUAAAAUGAGGCCAGAAGACCCACCCCAGCCCUGUUGGUCUUCCCUGUCAGCACCCCGCUCACAGAAUGGCAUCUGAAGAGGCAAACCCCACCCUAACCAUGAGCAGAGCACUGGCAGGGAUGACUGGAGAGGUCGGGGUGGAGGUGGGACUUCUGGCCCCGUUUAGAUGGUCUGCUUGAGCCGAGCACCUUUUGUAUAGUGGCUGGAGAGGCCUUAUUACUCAACAUAAUCCAUAGCUGAAAGAGAAAAUAGAAUCUGAAUCUGUAAAAGUAUUUCAUUGUGGUUUUCUGAGUAGACUAGUGCUUGCCACAUCAGAGAGGUAAAAGCACAUCUUCACCUUGGGGCAAAACACUUGUUUUGGGAAAUGGCUGCCCAAAAGGUCACCGCCCUGCUCUUCUAUGACUUACAUUGAAAGUGGUGAUGACAGUAGAUUACACACCAGCCAGAUGGCAGGGAAAAUGUCUCACUGUGUCUCUACAGCCAGAGUCAUAUGUCUUCUUUGGACGUUGGCUUUUGUAGACUUGGCUGUUCAAUAGUAUUCACAGCUGAUCUUUCUCUUUUCCAAGAUCAGGUUUCUCUGAAAGGAAAGAGUGAAAGUGGAGAGAGGGCUAAAUCAUUUCAGGUAUUCAAAUAAAUAGCUGAUAAGCAAAUGGCUCUGGUAAACAAACUAGACACUGACAAGUAUCACUUCCUUGUUUUUGCUUACUUACAGAUUGUGCAGUAUCACUUAAGUGCAUAUUGUGCAAGUUGUUUCUGGCAGCUUGUUCAUAUCAAUGCAGUAGUGUAUAGAGAAAUUGACAACACUGUCACAGGUAUCUUUGUGAUGUCAUCAGAUUUGUUCUGUCUACCGCUGAGAUGUGUGGCUCCAUUUAGACAUUUAAGAGGCUGAUAGCAGUUAGCACACCUGGUGGGCAAUGCGCUCUUUUGUUAAUCCUUCCAGGAGAAUGGUUUCAUCAAAAGUGAGUGAAAUCAGCCUGAAAUACAAACAUGUUCUACAGCUAGAAAAGCAAUACUUUUAUGAUUAAUUGGGGGUGAGGGAUAAAUAUUGGCAAGAUCAGCCUAAUUCUAAAGAUAUCUUGCUUUUGUUUUAUAUGUUGUAGUACAGAACUUUUAUUCAUAUUCUGAAGAGAUCAUUCACACAAUUAGGUGGGGUGGCAGGUGGCAGGCAGGGAGGAAGGCUGGUGGAACUCACCUCUAACACAUCAAUUGUGUCUCUUAGCAUCAGACCAACGAAAAUGUAUAGAAGCACUGAGUCCUGCUCCUUGGAAUAGACAGCAAAGAGAGAGCGGAUGCAAGGAUUUUUGAUUUCUCUGUAUUUCUAUUUGUGGUAUUUUAGUUGUUAUAGCAUUCUAUAUUUUCACUUUAAGAUCCUAAUUGAAAUUAUUUGAAGAGUGAACUGAAGAAGUAUCCAAAACUUCGCAAUAGUGCUAUGCUGAUGCUGCUCCAGAGCAGACUGCUCUUUAAUGAGAGUGAAAGGCCAUGGAGACACGCAUGCGGGCCGGACAGUAGAUGCCACCCAGCCUGGUUGCUUGACACAAGCAAACCACGGGGACAGGCAGGAGGAGCCAACAGGAAGCGACAGCUGGCUGACAGUAGAAAGAAGAGGCAAGCACCAUUAUAAUCAGAGAUGCUGAGAGCCCAGGUGCAAGAGGAUGAAGAGCUGCUAUUAACCCUUUGGGGCAUUUUGGGAACAGGACUUAUCUACAAAAAUGUUUUCAGACCUCUUCAGAUAAGGUGUCAGAAUGUAACACCAGUGCCUUAUUAGAGAGAUGGAUGGCCCGCAUGUUUGUACUUUACACUCCUUCACAGUGCAGCCAGUUGGCUGAAGAGUACCUAACUUCACAUAGUACUGUGCUAGACUGCCAGCUACUAAGCAAUAAAUAUGUCCUGUAGAAUUUCAGGUUAGAACUGGUAACUGCUGGAUUGUAGAUUCUUUCUAUUGGAUUGUUCCUGCAAAAGAUUGCUAGGGAAGUGGAUAAUAAACCCAACAGACAAAAAUACAUUUCUUUUUAUAUCACUUUUUUUUUUUUUUUAAGGAAAGGUUAGAAAAAAUGGGUCGUAUCAGAAGGAAUUAUCUUAGAGGACUUCCCUUGCAGGGAAAUGCUCUGAUGCAAUUAUAACUCAAAUCUUACAUUUGUUAUCCUAACUGAAUGCUAUAGUAUUAUCGGAAAUAUCAUGCUGGUUGGGAUGACUAAAAUGAGGGUAAAAAAUGAAUAAUUUAAAGACUACAAAUGUGAAAGUCUGGUCUGAUGGGAUUUUCGUCCCAGUGUCCCUAAGGAAAAUGAUUAUGGCAUUUCAUCCAAGCAGGUCAUUGAAUGCUGGAAAUAAUCUUUUCAGAGUGCCAUUUUGCAAAUAGCUUGCCUGAUGAUCCCGUGGCAGGCAAUCCAAUGACUCUAGAACUUUACAAACUGAAGCAAAAACUUCUUUUGGACAUAGAUAUGGGAAGGAUCCAUAUGCAAUGCUAGUCAGUCAGUUCAAUUUAUUUGUUUUGGCCAUUGGCCAUAACACAACAUAAAACAGAAUGAGAAAAAUGGUAACAGCAGGGAUACCCCUGCUAACUUGGCAAAGAGGCACCUUUUAACAUGGUGAUUCUCUUUAUUUAGCAGGGGGAGAGCAAAUGGCCCUAUCCACCCCCAGCGCAGUACCUCCAGUGGCUGUUGCUGGUGUCUAUCGUAUGUUUCUUUUUAGAUUGUGAGCCCUUUGGGGACAGGGAGCCAUCUUAUUUAUUUAUUUAUUUAUUGUUUAUCUGUGUAAACUGCCCUGAGCCAUUUUUGGAAGAGCGCUAUAGAAAUUGAAUAAAAUAAUAAUAACAACAACAACAACAUAAAACCAAUCAGGCAUUAAACAAAGGCAUACAAAAGAAACCCACAAAAUAACAUCAAUACAAUGCCAAUGAAUGUAAAGAAAACCUGUAGUUUCUGCCACCUGCUAGCAGCCAUGUUAUGCCUGGUGAGAUGUGUAUCCAGUCUGUGACAAAAUAUAGUAGAAAGAAAACCGAGGUUAGUGUGAACUGCUUGAGGAUCCAGGUCCAGAACUUGCAGCAAAGAUCAGAGGAAGCCUCUUCUUAACUCCUGCAGCUAACAAACAUCUGCGAAGUAUUAAAUAUUAUUUUAAUUAAAUAUUGUUUUAACAGUUUUAACAUGGUUUUAAAAUGUUGUUUUAAAUUUUUUUAAAUUGUUGUAAUGUUUAAACUUUUGCUAUGUCAUUUAUUUUGUGUUAACUACUGUUUUAAGUUUUUUGUUGUCAUUUAUCGUAACUAAUGUUUUCAUUUUUUUUGUUUGCUUGUUGUAAACCACCCAGAGAUGUGAGUUUUGGGUGGUAUAGAAGUGUGUUAAAUAAAUAAAUAAAUAAAUAAAUAAAUAAAUAA